rnacentral:rRNA from 1 species
UACGAAGGGGGCUAGCGUUGCUCGGAAUCACUGGGCGUAAAGGGUGCGUAGGCGGGUCUUUAAGUCAGGGGUGAAAUCCUGGAGCUCAACUCCAGAACUGCCUUUGAUACUGAGGAUCUUGAGUUCGGGAGAGGUGAGUGGAACUGCGAGUGUAGAGGUGAAAUUCGUAGAUAUUCGCAAGAACACCAGUGGCGAAGGCAGCGAACUGGCGCUCGAUUGACGCUCAGGCACGAAAGCAUGGGGAUCAAACAGG